rnacentral:rRNA from 1 species
ACACGCAUGACACACUGCAUAUCAAUAAGCGGAGGAAAAGAAACUAACAAGGAUUCCCUUAGUAACGGCGAGUGAAGCGGGAAGAGCUCAAAUUUGAAAUCUUCAAGAUUCUACCUUGACGAAUUGUAGUUUAUAGAAGUGUUUUCUGUUAGUGGAGUGGCAAAAGUUCUUUGGAAUAGGACAUCAUAGAGGGUGAGAAUCCCGUAUUUGGUCAUUCCUCCUAGCGUUGUGAUACACUUUCAACGAGUCGGAUUGUUUGGGAAUGCAGUCCAAAAUGGGUGGUAAAUUUCAUCUAAAGCUAAAUAUUGGCGAGAGACCGAUAGCGAACAAGUACCGUGAGGGAAAGAUGAAAAGAACUUUGAAAAGAGAGUUAAACAGUACGUGAAAUUGUCAAAAGGGAAGCGUUUGACACCAGUGUUGUUUUUCCGAAAAUCAAUUACGAAUGUUUUGUUUUUGAGGAGUUAUGACUUCAUCGGCUUGCUCCUUUCUUUACGAAACUUUCUUAAUGCACUUUUCGGUUAACAAGUCAACAUCAAUUUCUUUUGUUGUAAAAGGGUAUGAGGAAGGUGGCUUUCUUUUCGGAGAAAGUGUUUAUAGCCUUGUGCCUCUACAAUCGGAGAGAUUGAGGUCUGCAGCGUAGAUCCUUCGGGGUUAGAUACAUUUGUGCUAAGUUAUAGCUUUUCAUAGACAACUUGUUGACUAUAUUUAGUCUUGUAGCUUACUCGCUGACGCUAUUUUACCUACGCUUAGGAUGUUGAGCGCAUGUCUCUCUCU